UCUGCAACCGGAGAGGUCCAUCACUCGGCUGAUCCCACCUUUCCUCACCUUCCCCCAGACCUGGUGGCAAGGACUUCCCCCAAUGACCUCCAAAAGCAAGAUUCCCAACUCUACAGAUGCCACUAGACGUCACCCUCAAAUCUCUCUCCCCAAAGCCAUGCUUCUGAAAAUGAGCGCCAACCCCCAGGCCAGGAGCUGCUGUUUCAUCUUCUGGUUCUUCCUUCUUUGGUGGCCCACUUCGGCUCCAUGUUCCACUGCCACUGCUGCUGCCACAGUCCAUGGGAGUCACUGGGCGGAGAGGAGUCACAAGUGAGUCAUGAAGAAAGAGACCCCGGCCACCCUAGGGACCUUUCUGAUGGCUACUCCUGCGGGUAGGAGAAGCCUGGACGGUGAUCUUAUGUUCAAAUCCUGAAAGAAGAAAGAGGCGGUCCUAAGUGCAUGGCAUCCUCUGCAGGAACAGGAACUGACAGCAGGGGGCAUGUGGCACUGGCUCUCAAAAGUCCCAGAGCAGCUGGAAUUCUCUUGAAAUGGAGAUUCUUAGGCUCUCCCUGAAUGAAUAAACUUAGGGAGGCUCUAAAUCUGACUUAACUAAGGAUCCAGGCCUGAGUCCGCCAGGGCAGCAGUUAAAUACUAUGAGAGCAUGGAGCACUUGGGGCACCCGAGGGAGUGGAAUUUAAUAUCUACUUGUGACUAAGUUUAAGAAAGAUAGUAUAUUUGGUUGCUGGAGGCACUGAAGCAUGCUGGAAACAAACUGGGCAGGUGAGUCUACCUUCAUCAACUUGUAACGUUUAUAAAAUAUUAGUAUAAAUUUAAAAAAUAUACAAAUAUUUGCAGUGUCAGGGGAAUAUUUGCAAGCCCACGCCCUCUGCAUGCCAGGCAAGUACCUAACCAUUGAGCUAUCUGCCCAGGCUCCCAGAUCAUUUGUGGGGGGCGGUGGUAGUGCUGGGGAUGUAACCCCAGGCUCUGCACCUGUUAGUGCAAGUGCUCUACCACUGAGCCACACCCCCAACCCCUCUCAGAGCCCCUGGCCCAGCACCUGUUUUAUUUCUGGAUAUGGUCUUGCUAUGUAGCACAGACUGGCCCUGAACUCUCUCUCUAUCCCAGGCUGGCUUCAAAUUGAUCAUUUGCCUCUGCCUUCCCAGUGUUAGUAUUAUAGGUAGGCACCAUCAUGCCUGACCUGGAAACUUAACACCUAGGUCAAGAUGUGCUAUAAAUAUAAAACACACUGGAUCUCAAUGAUUCAGUGUGAAAACAAGAAAGCAACAUCUUAUGGUUUUUUGUUUUGUUUUGUUUUUGAUAAAGCUUAUAUGGCUAUACUGGGCUGAAUAAAACAGUGACUGUCCCAUAGUUUCUUUGUAUUGUGAUUUGAGACAGGGUCAUAUGCAGCCUAAAUUGAUUUCAAAUUUGUUAUACUGAGAAGACAAUCUUGAACUCCUAAUCCUCCUGCCUCCACCAUGCCUGGCUUCUUUUCAGCUUUUCAAUGUGGCUGCUCAACGUUAUGCCCAUGACUAUAUCUCCACUGGCUGGUACUGUUAUCGGCCAUGCUGUGACUUUUAACCUCAGUCACGUGUGCCAGGUAGGGAAUUAAGACUUUGUUUUCCUUUUGAGAAUCUCAACCCUUAACCAGGAUGGCCCAGUCUAGCCUUGAGCUUUUAGUGAUUCUCCUGCCUCAGUCUCAGGAUGGAUGCUGGGAUGACAAGUAUGAGCCUCCACACCAGGCUUUUUGGGGUAUGAUACAUUUGCAACAGAAAAAACUUGAAGGUACUGAGGGGUUAGCUCGAUGGAAAAACAAACUUGCCUAGCAUGUAUGAUACCCUGGCUCAGAUAAUUGUUCAAACAAAUCAAGCAGCCCUCUAUGGAGACAGAGCCCCCAGAAGGUUCUGGGGGGCGCUCAGGGG